UUAAAACCUGUGAAGAGGCUAGUAGUAGUAUAGAAAGUUUAAGAGAGUCAGUGGUUGGUGUGAACUGAUACUUUUGAUAUUAUGAAUCCACCUCUGAGGGACUGUGAUGAGCAGUACGGUUAUAACCGUUACAUUUUUAAAGAGGAUUAAAUUUUAAUUUAAUCAAUUAGGGUGGCAACGCGGAGCUUUUCGUCCCUUUU
rnacentral:ncRNA from 1 species